rnacentral:rRNA from 1 species
CCUACGGAGGCAGCAGUGGGGAAUAUUGGACAAUGGGCGAAAGCCUGAUCCGGCCAUGCCGCGUGUGUGAAGAAGGCCUUCGGGUUGUAAAGCACUUUCAGUGGGGAAGAAAGCCUUGGGGCUAAUACCCUCGAGGAAGGACAUCACCCACAGAAGAAGCACCGGCUAACUCCGUGCCAGCAGCCGCGGUAAUACGGAGGGUGCGAGCGUUAAUCGGAAUUACUGGGCGUAAAGCGCGCGUAGGCGGUCUGAUAAGCCGGUUGUGAAAGCCCCGGGCUCAACCUGGGAACGGCAUCCGGAACUGUCAGGCUAGAGUGCAGGAGAGGAAGGUAGAAUUCCCGGUGUAGCGGUGAAAUGCGUAGAGAUCGGGAGGAAUACCAGUGGCGAAGGCGGCCUUCUGGACUGACACUGACGCUGAGGUGCGAAAGCGUGGGUAGCAAACAGGAUUAGAUACCCCAGUAGUC